UGGACACAUUGCAACCACAGCUGCUGUAGAUUUCUUCACUUUGCAUAGUGUUUCCACUAAUAGGCCUCAAAAUCGAAAGAAACAGUUUUGUGUCGAGUUAUUGGAUCGAUAAUGAAACCGAAAAGAAGAAAAGCUACUUUUGUUAAACAUUUGGUCGGUGUUAACCCUUUAUAAGGCCGUGAAAACUGCGUUAGGGACCGAGACAAGUUCAAGAAAACGUAAAUAAAAUGUGAAAACUAUCUCACAAAUUAACAUUGCACAUUUCUUGCAGUUUAAGAAAAUUCGUAAUGCUGCAAAAUACUCUUAAAGUCCUUGGUUUAGCGAAAUUUAUUUAAAAUAUUCUUGGUGCAGCAACAUUUUUUUUCGUUGGUGGCAAUAUUGUUGCCACUGCCUUAUAAAGGGUUAAAACAAAAUGGACCAAGUUACAAAAUCGGAAUCGGUAUUUCUAGAGUGGAAACUGCGGUGGUGAUAGGCUGACUAACAACCGUUUACCUGAUGAUAUUCUACUUGGAAUCGAUUGAGAGACAUUUCAUACUAAUUAGCUGGUGAUAGAAAAACAAUCAAAAUGUACAAAUGUUUCACUUAUUCAAUAUUGUUCGAUUUUGUUACAAGAUGAAUAUAGUACAAAUCGUAUUUCGAAAAAGGUAGGACAUUAUUACCAUUCAGAUUGGACGACACCUAAAACAGCCGAGAAGUCGCUAGAUUCUUUGGAGUGGCGAACAAACAUUCAGAAUUAAAGGUUUUUUGUACACAAUACCAAACACUAUUGUAGUCAUAGACAAUUUAUUUGUUCAUUUCUAUGUUCAAAAUUCAUCUCUGAAAUAGUUUGUUAUUGAAAAUGUUGCUGAGUUACGGUAUUUCAGUCUGGGUUUUAUUUUGUUAGAGUGUACUAGAUUUUUUCUAACUACUCAUUAGGAUAAUAGUUUGACUACAAAUUACAAGAACCAACUUUGGAGGUUGAAUUGAAAACUAGAUUGAGAAAAGAUAUUAGACAGUUAGAAUCAGCAACAUUUAGACAAUAAUCAAUUUCUGGUUUUGAAACAAAUUAAGUUCUUUUAUGAUGGUUUAGGAGGAAGCUCUGAAGUUAGAAAUAUUGAAAUGAGUUAACAAUACAUCAGAAGUCGAGUGUUGUGUCUUGACAGCUUCUGAAUAAGAUGCUUAUUAGCUGAUUAAUAGCAGUUAACAAACCCUCUCAGCAAAUAAAGUACAAUAAAAGGCAAUUAGAAAUGGUUAUUGAACAAGGCAGAGAUAAUGAACCCUUUAUUAAAAGUUGCGAAAAACGGUUCAGCACAACCGCAGAUCAGAAGGCAACUUUAUUAAGCACAAAAGGUGGAGAUCGAUUGAUCUUUUGAUUUUGGAAUCAAAUUUAGUCACGAGUCACUUGUUUAACUAUCAAACUGUUUGUCAUCAUGAUCGUCUCGAUUUGUUUCAAUUUUACUUCACUACGGCAAUCGUUCAAUUGUUUCACGGCUUUUGUUAAAGUUCACAAUCUUUUUUCAAAACAAUAAAAAAAUAGAUAUUGUAGAGCAAAAUAUCACAACAAUAUCUAUUAGGAUUGCAGCGAAAUUAGAAAUUAAUGUGGAAAAAUUAUUUGUAAUUAUGAGUUUAUUAAAGCACAUUAGGAAAAAAUCGAAAACGAAAUUCAGACAAGUUUUUAGAAACACUUGGACAACUGUUGUUUUGUGAGAGGUGCGAGAGCUCAAAAUCGUGAAUUUUUUACAUUUACUCUUCAAAAACUGGUUUUAUUGACACAGUUUCAAAAGAUAUUUAGUAGGGUAAGAGCACCGGCUUUGGCCAUAGUAUGUUAUGAAUGAGAUAUAUUUGUCCUUCUUCCUUCGAAAAAUAUGUAAUUGAAUAAUUAACGGGGCAAUCGGAUGAAAUCCACAUCCCUGUCACGAACGUCAUCCCCAUACAUUUCGCUUGAAGCCGUUUUUCUCUGGCUCUCUGGCUCGAUUAUCCGUCAAAAGGCUGUCAGUGCUUGCAAAACAGCCGAUUAGGCACCGUCCAUGCGAGAUCAACUGUUGUUGCAAGUGGUGUGAAGUAAUGCAAAAAGCGAAAAACGAUUGUUUUGUUUUGAACGUUUUAUAGAUUUUGUGCAGGACAUAAAUGGUCACGUUCAAACAUGUUACAACACGUUCCGGAUAGCCCUACAUUCAAUAUAGUUAGAAGCAUGCAAUAAAUCCGUACAGUAACACAUGCGGCACAAUGAACGGAGCUUACGACCAUUUUUCCAACAGUAGCGCCAUCAUCAUCGGCGGCGGCUUCAGGAAACUGUUGCCAUGACAUCGGUCUGAUGAAAUCGCCUAUAUUCUGCACUUACAAUGAGUUUAAAUAAUCAAAUUAUGUUGUAUUGUUUACAUAUUUUAAAAUCAAAAAACUUCUAUAGGCUCCUGUUUUGGCCUUAGCAUUUCUUUAUUGGCCGCUUGGGUCUCCUAUUGUGGCCAAUUCGCGAAAGAAUUGAAGCCACGCGAUAUUCCAUAUUGAGUUUAUCAUAUAGAUAUAUUUUAACAGCAGAAAAUCCUCGUUUUUGAACUAACCAAGUAUAUAUAAUAAUCAAACUAAAUAAUGAUAUUAUAUUCACACAUAGCUAGCUGGGCAAAGUUAGAAUUUGUUUAAACUUAGUAGGAUGUUUAAUAACACUGACAUCACAUCAUUGACCUAUAUUAAUUUUUCGUCUGACAUUGAUCUACAUUAAAAAGCUUCCGCUCAUUCCUUUUUCACAUAGAAACUUUUUCGUAUUAUUUGCUAACAUCAACUUCGGUAACUCAAGUGCCAUUUAUUAUAGUCAGGUUAAGGUUGAGAAUCCGAAGCGUUAGUUUUGGUCAAUACAAAUGAAGUUGCAGAUUUGUAAAUAAUCUGAACAAACGGAGACUUUCCAAUCCCAAACCAGUUUUGUAGAAAAACUCCAUACAUUUCAUGUUUUGCAUAAACUCGAAUACGUUACCAUGGUUUUGUUUACAUAUGGCCAAUAACAGGAUUAUGAAUCAUGGAAUUGCAUUAAUAUGUGGCCAAGAAUGGAUCAAUGAACGUUUUUGGAAACUGUAAGUAAUUUUGAUAUUGCAAAGAAAAAUCACACCAAAAUGUCUACUUUUUUAUCAAUGUGCUGUAGUAAGUUGUGCCUGAUGCUGGUAACAAGAUUUGUUAUAGCAAAAUAUUAUAGCAAAAAAAACAAUGUUCAGCAUAUAUUUAUUUAUCAUUCAAACACACAACUUUGUAGAAUACACGAAAAAGACAGCUUCUUCACAGACCGAGUUAUUCCCAAAAAUUUUUAAAAUGCAGAUAAUGAAAUGGACAAAUUUUGUAAUAAAUUUCGUAGAGUGAUUAUAUUAAUAGUUCAUCCACAGCAGGUUCCUUCUGCUACUGUGACUUUGUUGAAGCUAUUUUUCGUGUCUUCUACAGAGUUGUGUGUUUUCAUGAUAUCCGAAUAUAUGCUUAACAUUGUUGCCUAAUAAAUGCUUCAGUUCUUUCAGAUAUUAAAAAAAUAUGAAUUUCAAGGACUAGUGUGAAUGAAACAGUAUAUCUCCAAAAUAAGUGGAGUUAGAAGAAAAACGUCUUCACUAAAGUUAUUCAUAACAACAUUACCUAAAACUUUACCGAAGACACCAUUUUUAUAAA